rnacentral:rRNA from 1 species
UACAGAGGUCUCAAGCGUUGUUCGGAUUUAUUGGGCGUAAAGCGUGCGUAGGCGGCGGGGUAAGUGAGGUGUGAAAUCCCAGGGCUUAACCCUGGAACUGCACUUUAUACUGCCUUGCUCGAGGGCUGGAGAGGAGACUGGAAUUUACGGUGUAGCAGUGAAAUGCGUAGAGAUCGUAAGGAAGACCAGUGGCGAAGGCGAGUCUCUGGAAAGCUGCUGACGCUGAGGCACGAAGGCCAGGGGAGCAAACGGG